rnacentral:misc_RNA from 1 species
AGAAUUAUUUAAAAAAAAAAAAAAAGAACUUCAGAGGAACAAAGUCCACAGAGAGAAAAAGGAAAGUCAGAAAAUUAAAAUGGCAAAAUGAAUAUCCAACCAAGAAUUGCUGGUAAUUAACAAUUUGACAAGGUCAGCCAUGUAUCUAUGGGCUUUCUCAAUCAACUGAAGUCAAUUUUCAGCUCUGACAUAUGGAGAAAAAUAUCACAAAAAAUGGCAAUUGAAUUGGUGUAUGGGAUUUCAAAAACAUGUAGAAGAGUAAAUUAACUCAGACGUGAUUGUCUUUUAUUUCUACGUAGCAGGGACCAAUUAAGAAUAUGGCAAAGGUAUGGUAUUUAAGUUACAAAAACAGUAGCUGAUUAGAAAAAUUCCCCAUACCAAAACUAAAUAUUUCCAAAAUAAAAGCCAUUUAUAAUACUACCUUUGCCAUCCCACCCAAAGAAACCAAGAAAAGCAAGGAAAAAAAAAAAGAACAUCCUUGCUUGGACAACAAAUUGCCACAUUCUUUACCCCAGACAGAUGUUGUUGUGUUUUUGGCAUACAACCAUAGUUACCUAGAUCACAGUACUCUCAGAUGGUGGCACCACUUAAUAAAAUAUAGGAUACAUAGGGUUAUGUUCAAUUGAUACACAAAUUUGGUUUGAGGUACACUAAUAGGGUUAUGUUCAAUUGAUACACAAAUUUGGUUUGAGGUACACUAAUAGGGUUAUGUUCAAUUGAUACACAAAUUUGGUUUGAGGUACACUAAUUAUAUUUACGUGGUAUGUAAAGCAUAUUUAUGUGACAAUUUAUUUUCAA